UCCAGACUCCUACGGGAGGCAGCAGUAGGGAAUCUUCGGCAAUGGACGGAAGUCUGACCGAGCAACGCCGCGUGAGUGAAGAAGGUUUUCGGAUCGUAAAACUCUGUUGGUAGAGAAGAACGUUGGUGAGAGUGGAAAGCUCAUCAAGUGACGGUAACUACCCAGAAAGGGACGACUAACUACGUGCCAGCAGCCGCGGUAAUACGUAGGUCCCGAGCGUUGUCCGGAUUUAUUGGGCGUAAAGCGAGCGCAGGUGGUUUAUUAAGUCUGGUGUAAAAGGCAGUGGCUCAACCAUUGUAUGCAUUGGAAACUGGUAGACUUGAGUGCUGGAGAGGAGAGUGGAAUUCCAUGUGUAGCGGUGAAAUGCGUAGAUAUAAGGAAGAACACCAGUGGCGAAGGCGGAUUACUGGACGAUAACUGACGGUGAGGCGCGAAAGCGUGGGGAGCAAACAGGAUUAGAUACCCCUGUA
rnacentral:rRNA from 1 species